AGAAGCAGCAAGCACCAUGACCCUCAUCACCAUCCUCAUCUGGACGCUGACCUGCUGCUGUUUUACAGGAUGCAGAGCUCAGAUCACUGUGACUCAACCUGCAGUGGAGACAUUUACACCAGGAUCCACUGUCACUAUCAGCUGUACAACAAAUCAGGAUGUUUACAAUGACGAUUUUUUGUCCUGGUAUCAGCAGAAACCAGAACAGCCUCCAAAGCUCCUGAUAUAUUGGGUGAAUAAACUCCAGUCAGGAACUCCAGCUCGGUUUAGUGGCAGUGGAAGCGGCUCUGCCUUCACUUUGACCAUCAGUGGAGUUCAGGCUGAAGAUGCUGCAGUUUAUUACUGUCAGAGUUACCAUGAAAUAGAUGAUGCCUCAGUGUUGACUUUUGGUGGAGGAACCAAACUCAUCGUUAACUCCGGCCCCACGGUCAGACCCUCAGUCUCUCUGCUGCCCCCCUCCUCUGAGCAGCUCUCUGGGGGCUCGGCCACGCUGCUCUGCCUGCUGAGCGGCUACUCUCCUCAGGGAGCCCAGGUGAGCUGGGAGGUGGACGGCACGGCGGUGACAGAGGGGGUCCUGAGCAGCUCAGAGGAGGAGAAGAGCGGACGCUACGGCAGCAGCAGCACCUUAAGCCUGAGCCAGGAGAAGUGGAUGAAAGGAGAGCUGUACUCCUGCAGGGUGCAGCAUGAGGGCCAGAGCCAGGUCCAGAGCAUCCGAAGGAGCCAGUGUGAGGGCCAGAGAGGCUGACUGAGGCCCAGAGCAGGAGCUCUUAGUGGGAGAGCAGCAGGAAAAACACCUGCUGCUCUCAUCAAUAGGAGCCUGGAUGAAGACAAACUAAAGCUUGUGUGACGCUGAACUAAACUGCUGAGAAACGUUCAACAACUUAGACUAAUGUGUGAAGCUCAGCAGCUGGAUGUGAGUGGGAUUCAUUUGCUGUGUGUUUCAAUAAAGCUUGCUCUGAUACAUUAUAA